UACGUAGGUGGCAAGCGUUGUCCGGAUUUACUGGGCGUAAAGAGCGCGCAGGCGGUCGUUCAAGUCGAUUGUGAAAUCCCCGGGCUUAACCUGGGAACUGCAGUCGAGACUGUCUAGCUAGAGUAUGGGAGAGGGAAGUGGAAUUUCAGGUGUAGCGGUGAAAUGCGUAGAUAUCUGAAGGAACAUCAGUGGCUGAAAGCGACUUCCUGGACCAAUACUGACGCUCAUGUGCGAAAGCGUGGGGAGCAAACAGG
rnacentral:rRNA from 1 species